UACGGAGGGAGCUAGCGUUGUUCGGAAUUACUGGGCGUAAAGCGCACGUAGGCGGCUUUGUAAGUUAGAGGUGAAAGCCCGGAGCUCAACUCCGGAAUUGCCUUUAAGACUGCAUCGCUUGAAUCCGGGAGAGGUGAGUGGAAUUCCGAGUGUAGAGGUGAAAUUCGUAGAUAUUCGGAAGAACACCAGUGGCGAAGGCGGCUCACUGGACCGGUAUUGACGCUGAGGCGCGAAAGCGUGGGGAGCAAACAGG
rnacentral:rRNA from 1 species